UGCUUAUCUUACUUGCCAAUUAGUGGGGGAUAACUCUGGUGCGCCAGAACUAAUACCGCAUUUGUUGCUUCGGCAAUGAAAGGGAAUCGCAAGAUUUUCGCUAAUUGAUAGGGAUAAGUCGUAUUAGUUUGUUGGUGGGGUAAUGGCCUACCAAGACGAUGAUGCGUAGCCGGGCUGAGAGGCUGAUCGGCCACAAGGGAACUGAGACACGGUCCCUACUCCUACGGGAGGCAGCAGUGAGGAAUUUUCGGCAAUGGGGGAAACCCUGACCGAGCAAUACUACGUGAAGGAGGAAGGUCUACGGAUUGUAAACUUCUGUUAGUGCGGAAGAAGGGCUGAAUGCAAGUUCAGCCUUGACGGUACGCACAGAGAAAGCCACGACUAACUACGUGCCAGCAGUCGCGGUAAGACGUAGGUGGCGAACGUUAUCCGGAAUUAUUGGGCGUAAAGGGUGCGUAGGCGGCGGAAUAAGUUAGUGGUGGAAAAUCGGGGCUCAACCUCGUGGAAGUCAUUAAUACUGUUUUGCUAGAGGACAGGAGAGGUUAACGGAAUUCCCUGUGGAGCGGUAAAAUGUGUAGAUAUAGGGAAGAACACCAAUAAGGCGAAGGCAGUUAACUAUUCUGUUCCUGACGUUGAGGCACGAAAGCGUGGGGAGCAAAUAGGAUUAGAUACCCUAGUAGUCCACGCCCUAAACGAUGAGUGCUAGACAUUGGAAACUUGAUUUUCAGUGUCGCUAGAUAACUCGGUAAGCACUCCGCCUGGGUAGUACGCUCGCAAGAGUGAAACUCAAAGGAAUUGACGGGGACUCGCACAAGCACUGGAGCAUGUGGUUUAAUCCGAUGCAACGCGUAGAACCUUACCAAGGCUUGACAUGUUUGGCAAAACUGUGGAAACACAGCGGAGGUUAUCCAAACACAGGUGCUGCAUGGCCGUCGUCAGUUCGUGCCGUGAGGUGUAUGGUUAAGUCCUAUAACGAACGCAACCCUUGGGCUUAGUUGCCAGCAUUCAGUUGGGGACUCUAGGCCGACUGCCUGAGUAAUCAGGAGGAAGGAAAGGAUGAAGU
rnacentral:rRNA from 1 species